rnacentral:misc_RNA from 1 species
CCAUUACCCUUCUCAUUCUGCAAUUUUAUACUGAAGAAAAGUUUUUUGCAUGCAAGCAUUCAAGAUCUAACAACCUAAGCCAAAUCAUUAUCAAUCCAUUGCAUUCCUAUUACUAGAGCAUAAAAGAAGCUGCCUUAACACCACAGAAAAGAACAUGAAGAACACAACCUCAGAAUGGAAUGAAACCAAGUGUAUACUUUGCAGAUUAUCUGCACGCUUCCACAAAAUUUCAAAAAGGAAAAAAGCAUUAAGCAGCGUAUAGAUCAUCUGUACAAUUGUUUAUCUAUCAAGGAUUUGAACUGCGCUUAACCUCUUGAUCCCCUCUUUCUCUCAGCCCCGGGAAGCUAUGAAAAAAUAAUUAUGGUAAUAAAAAGAAAACCCAGAAAAAUAUAUGGAGAAAAAUAGUGAUGCAAAAUGAAUGACCCUGGCUUCAGGAUGCCAAGCAAGUCUCCCAGAAAAGCCUGUUCUUCUCCAUCUCAUUCAUCGGUUCAUUGGUCGAUUCAACAGAAACACAAGAUUUCUGAUCUACUGUUAACCCAAGAUGCCCAUUGGCCCAUUCUUGAUAACCAUGAACCUCCGGAUCCUCUUCCUUGUAUUGCUUCCCUUCCUCGUCCUGCUUCUCUUCCUCGUCCUUAUAAUGAUCAACAACAUGAUCAAUAGAUGCUUGUUCAACUUCAUUACAGGCAUUGAGAUCAGCAACACAAGAAUAACAAUCAUCUGACACAUCACAGCUGCAUGAUUGUGCAUCAUCAUCAUCCGCAAGAUCUUUAUUAAUGGCUACGUUGGGAUCAAAAUCAGCCUCAGAAUCACCAGAAGCUUCCACGAGCAAGCAAGAAAAUAAAUCAACAUCUUUCUUGGUGUUGAUUUUGGAAUAGAAAGACCAUGAAUUUUCCAUGAGUUUGAUAGUUUCAGAGAGUUAGGUGUUGGAAGAAAAAGAUUUCCCUUACACAGGCAUGGCUAAGGACUUUAUAUGGAAAUAAACAAAGAAAUUGAAUUUGUUAAGGGUAAAUUUCUCGGUGGGUCGGCCUCAAGAUUCAAGAAAAUGAAUAAUUUAUAGACGAAAAAAGCAGGCAAAAAGAGACCAUACCGAAGGGAGGGAGAGAGACAGAUGACAACCAUCAUCAACCAUUUGCCUAAUCUUCUAGAAGGAAAAGAUUGAUUUAAAUGGAACAAGUCGGGCAUCUAGAAGAAGUAAA